rnacentral:lncRNA from 1 species
GUUACACAAUAUUUUGAAUUUGAGUAGAAUAAUCUGUAGUACUCUUAAUUAUCUAACAUCCAUAAAAAAUUUUUUGAAAUAUUUUAACUCUCCAAACUCAUUACAAGUUACUCUUUACACUUUCAAUUUGAGGGCAGGUGUUAAUUAAUGAACUGGUCUAAACAAUGUGCAAAAAGAUAUAAUUGUAAUUUUAUUGUUACCAUUUAUCAUUUUUCAGUUUUUAUUUUAGUUUAUAAAAUUUUUCAACUUUUUGAAGCUUAUAUAGUUUUAGGUCCAGUUCAGAUGAGUGGAAUGUCUGCAGAAUUACAUGCUAACUUAAACCCCACCAAUUGUUAUGGAAUACUAAUUUAAAUGUAAUAACUCAUAUUAAACAGACGGUCGAUUGCAGAGACAGAGUUUGCAUUAAACGACGUUUAACAGCCGAACGGCAUUCAGGCAUUGGCUGGCUGAACCAUGGUUUAAAAUGCAUUGCAAAGACAACAAUUGCAGUUUCUGAAUGUCUAAACAAACUUCUGCAAAACCCAAAUUCGUCCGUCAUAUUUGCUAUUAAUUGCCCUCUGUUAUCAUCAUGUUUAUUAAACCAAAUAGCCAAUUUUGCAUUAAUGUCACCAGCUACAAUCACAUAGUGCUCAGUUUCCCUGAGUACCUUUUCAAUUAUAUUCACACUUUCCUCAACAUUCAUACACUGUGAGAGGUACACAUUGAUUACAUAGAUGGGAGGGUUAUAUUGAAUAAUGGCUGUAGUAAUUAUGUGCAAAGAGAGGUGAGGGAUAAGUGCAAUGUCCAUUCUGUUGUUGUUCUCUCCACUUCAGGAGUUUUACCAUGGCUAUUAUAUAAUAUUGCUAGUUGGCAAAUCUCACAGCAUUUAUUGUAUAUGGCUCCUGCAAUAGAAUUAUAUCCACCUGCAAUUCAUUUGCCUCAAGUAUCAUUAGAGAGCAUGGGACCUUUUCCCUUUGUGCAUUAAUUUGAAGAAUGUUGAGGUCUGUGUCAGAGAUGUGGUAGGAAUUGCUUGUAUUACUGCCAUGGGUAGUGUUUAUCAGAGUACUAUUUGAAGUUUGAUUAUUACCACCCAUAAUCUGUUCUGAUCACUGUUUGAGACUUUAUCCUUAUUAGCGUCAGACAAUGGCUACUGAAGGCAUUGUGGUUUGUUGGCCUUCUCUUGUCUGGAGGAAUUUCCUUGUAACUUUCCUGCAGUUUAUACAGGACAGUGUGGUAUCUAAUAGCUGGCAUUCUUUGUAAUGGUGCCCCUUACCACAGUGGCUGUACCUCUGAUUGUCUACACAGUCAUGUGUUAGAUGAUUAAAACCACAACACUGAUAACAGCAUAUGACUGGUAUGAAAUCGUCUAUGUAUAUAUUUGCCAAUAACGUUUGAUUUGACAGGUCUGUGGGUGAUUAAUAUGUUACAAAUAACUGGAGUAACAGAAAGAACAUCUCAACAAUUUUCUUUUGUUUUUUCACCUUUUAGUAUUGUGCUGAUUCUGCAAGUUUCUCUUACCAAUAUUUUGUCCCUGUUUUUCCAGAUCGUGUUCUGUUCUUCCAGAUUGUAUUCUGUUCUGUCAUGACUUCUAAAUUUUUUUGUCAAGGAUGAUGAUUGGAACGUUUACUAGAAUGACUUGUGGUCGUCUUCCUUCCGAUGUUUUGCACUUAAUCUUGUCUCUAAUUUUUGGGAGCUUCUCCAUUGCUUCCCUUAAUUUUUUCCUGUCAUUCUUGCUUCCUACUCUGAUGCAGAUGCCAUUUGAUUUGACAGGUCUGACUGUUUUUACCUUUAUUUGAAGUUGAUGUGGUUCUAUCUUGUUAAUAAUUUGGUUAGUUACUUCACUCGUGUUAACAUUUGAGCCAUCCUCGUCAUUUGGAUACACCAAAACAGCUUAGUUUCCUCCAGCUCCUUCAUUUUUCACCUUAGUAAUUAACGAGUUGGUUAUAGCUUCUGUUGUCUUGCUUAGCCUUGAUCCAAUUUUAACCAUCUCUGCAAAUGUGGUUUGCUCUCCUCACUUUGCACUGGUUGAUUCUUCGCUGCUCUGACUUUUCGUAGAAUUCCUUGUAGUUGCCCUAUGCAUGAGACUAUGUGUGUCACUCUUUUGCGAAUCUCUGUAUGAUCUUCUGUUUUUAAGCUUGACUUAUAUGUUACUGAUACAAGGUCUGUCUAUAAUUCUGAUUAAAUGAUCGUUAGCUUCGUUAAUUAUAGUAUAUUCUAGCGAAGUAAUAACUACUUGAGAUUCUGUGUCUGUGGCCAUUAUGAUAACUUAACACCACAUCAGUCGGUCCGUACCAAUCUAGAAUACUAAGAGUUUGAAAAUUGACAGUUUAGUUUGGUCCACAACACAGACUGCGGGCUGAGAUCUUCGUAGAUAGGAUAACCACAAUACAGAACCAAUACAGCACUGCUAGACAGAACUGCUGACACGAUACAUGGAAGUGGCAAGCAGUUGGGUUAUAAACCAGUGCAGUGGCCCCAAAUUAGUCUGUUAUAUGAGAGAACAAUGGUCUUUGUUUAACCCACUAACGAAAACUGUUAAUAACUUGAUUAAAAAAAUAGCUAGGACCACCAGUUUAUAGUAUAGACAGAACAGAUUUAGAUGUAUAUCGCCCUAAACAGCUGGCUUGCAGAACACAGUGAAAGCUUGCCCAAAGCCCACAAAACAUGAAAUUCUGGGUCGCCGUAGAAUGACAGAAAUUAAUCCGAUAUUAAUAGAAAUUAACAUAACUAUUUCUAAUGAUAACUGCUAUCCACAAUGCUUAACUAAAGAAAAUUAAAUUAAUCCAUUAAUAAGAAAACACAACUGGAAACUGCCGGCCAUGGACCACAUGAUAAAUGGCCUUAACUUCAUAAAUUAUGGACGAAAUUAGACAAACAAGACGUCAAAAUAGUCCUUGUGACUUCUGUGAACAGAAAGACAUAAAACUCACAAUUACACUGAUAAAACACCAAUGUAGUAAUCCAAAGUAGGAGCCAACACACACAACCACAUAGGAAUGUGACUGGAUCUCCAUGAUGGAUGGGAGGCCGAGAAAGUCUUGCUUAGAAUGACUCAGGUUUGGUUUUAGUCAGUUACUAAUCACUGUCUAAACUGUGGAAAGCAAGAAAUGCCGUCUCUGCAAUGAAAUUUUUCGGAACCGCGGUCUACCCGAUCUCUAAACCGCUGUCAGUGUCUAAAUGCUCUCUGCAAUUGCCUGAGAAAGUCUAUAGCUGUGGGAAUGUUACCGGAUUCCAGCCGUAUUACUUGUAGCAGAAUGGAUGCCAUGCAGCAGCCACAGAUUGGUUAUGGGCUAUUGCAUAGUAUCAAAUAAUUUAAAUGAGCAGAAGCAAAAGUUGUGCAGAGAGGGCAUAAUUGAAAUAUCAUUUACUAGCUGUCUCAUGUUACUAUCUUCUUUGUUCAUGGUAUUUUUCAGAAUGUAAUACAAUUCAUCAAAGUUUGGAAAUAACAAUCUGGAGUAAUUAAAUAAUUUUGAUUCCUCCUCAAAGCUCAUUAAACAACAAAUAAAAAGUUUCUUGUAAUAAAUGACUGCUCACCAUUAGAUGUAUCCAAUACCUUCUAUUUUUCUUUUUCUUUCUUUCUUUUAAGAAUUGAAGUCCUAAGAACACUACUACUGCAGAGUAACAAGCAUUCAUGAUGAUUGGCCAACUCAAAACAAAUUCAGCCAUCUUCUGUCCAGAGUGCCCGCAGAAAAAAUAAUGCAGUGUGGCUGCCAUUCUGCAGAAGUUUUGCUUGUCUGAACUGGAUCUUACAGUUGUGGAAUAAUAACAGGAUAAAUUUCUAUUUAUAAAGUACCAUGGCAGAAGUUGAGAAUGUAGCUGAAGCACCAAAAAGAGGUCGAGGCCGGCCAAAAAAAGGGGAAGCUAAAGUAGAAAAAGCAAAAUUGGAUGUUGAAUUAGAUGAUGACCUUGAUCAGGAGGAAGAAAAUGUUAAAAAAGGUCGUGGGCGUCCUCGUAAAUUGGAUUCAAACCAGGUAAUCUAAUUUGAAAUUAAAAUGAAAUAUUUUUUCCUUGUAAAAUUCUAAAUACGUGGGUGGUUCGGAAAGUUCUCGGAAUUGGAUAUAUAGAAACAAAAUCUGGUUGAAUUGGUUUUUUUUAAUGUAAUCUUCUUUUAGAAUAAUGCACUUAUUCCAGCAGUGUUCUGAUGCCUUCAUUCCAACAGAAAAAGCUGAUUUCCAGAUUUUUAAAAAAUAGCCGUUCAUUAUAAUGAUGACCUCUUCAUUUGUGUGAAAUUUCUUGUCUGCUAUCAUUUUCUUCAGGUUUUGAGAGAGAUGGAAGUCAUUAGGAGAAUAUGGGGAUGAGAAAGGAGUUGGAAGUGAUGGUAGGCAAGUGUUUGCUGGGUAAGAUGGCAGAAUGCACUGGUGCUUCGUCAUGUUGAGAAAGGAUUUUCUUUUUCUUUAUAUGAGGACUUUUCUCUGUAAUAGCAGUCUUUAGUUUGUCUAAGAGGUCACAAUAAUAAGCAGCAGGUAAUGGUCGCAUUUUUUUCCAAGAAGUCAACAAGAAUAAAAUUCUCUUGGUAUUUUAAAAAAUGGAAGCUAUGACUUUCCUCACUCAGGGAACCACUUUUGCCUUCUUCAGAGUCGUUGAAGAUGCAUAUUUCCAUUGUUUAGAUUGUUCAGUCUUGCAUAUAAUAGUGGAUCCAUAUCUUAUUUAUGGUCACAUACUGAUGCAAAAAGUCCUUUAGAUUCUUCUGAUAUAUGUCCAAACACUCCUUAGAAAUUGUUGCUCACAUACGGUUUUGUUUGACUGUGAGCAAACAUGGCACCCAUCUUGUAGAGACUUAGUUGUGCCUAGUUCUUGGGUUAGGAUUUUGUAAACCCAUUUAGCAGAGAUGCCCACGACCUCAGCAAUCUCUCUCACUUUCAAGCAAUGGUC